rnacentral:rRNA from 1 species
GAUGAACGCUGGCGGCGUGCUUAACACAUGCAAGUCGAACGGAAAGGCCCAAGCUUGCUUGGGUACUCGAGUGGCGAACGGGUGAGUAACACGUGGGUGAUCUGCCCUGCACUUCGGGAUAAGCCUGGGAAACUGGGUCUAAUACCGGAUAGGACCACAUUUUGGUUGGUGUGGUGGAAAGUUUUUCGGUGUGGGAUGAGCUCGCGGCCUAUCAGCUUGUUGGUGGGGUAAUGGCCUACCAAGGCGUCGACGGGUAGCCGGCCUGAGAGGGUGUACGGCCACAUUGGGACUGAGAUACGGCCCAGACUCCUACGGGAGGCAGCAGUGGGGAAUAUUGCACAAUGGGCGCAAGCCUGAUGCAGCGACGCCGCGGGGGGGAUGACGGCCUUCGGGUUGUAAACUCCUUUCGCUAGGGACGAAGCGUUAUGUGACGGUACCUGGAGAAGAAGCACCGGCUAACUACGUG